AUGGCAGUGUGGCUGCCGGCUUGUGUGGUGGACUGUGGCACCGGAUAUACAAAACUAGGACAUGCUGGGACUACAGAACCAAAGUUUAUCAUCCCAUCCUGUAUUGCGAUUAAAGAGUCAGGAAGAGUAGGUGAUCAAGCCCAGAGGAGGGUGAUGAAAGGUGUGGAUGAUCUAGACUUCUUCAUUGGUGAUGAAGCAAUAGAAAAACCUACAUAUUCGACAAAGUGGCCAAUCCGCCAUGGUAUAGUUGAAGACUGGGAUUUAAUGGAAAGAUUUAUGGAGCAAGUACUUUUAAAAUAUUUAAGGGCAGAACCCAAAGACCGUUAUUUUCUUUUGACUGGACCCCCACCGAAUACUCCAGAAAACAGGGACUAUACUGCUGAAAUAAUGUUUGAGUCCUUCAGUGUUCCAGGCCUGUACACUGCUGUGCAGGCUGUUCUUGCCUUAGCUGCACCCCGGGCCUCAAGACAAGUAGGAGAGUAGACACUGACCCGGAUGGUAAUAGACAGUGGUGAUGGAGUCACUCAUGUCAUUCCUGUGGCUGAAGGGUAUGUAAUCGGCAGGUGUAUUAAACACAUUUCAAUUGCAGGAUGAGAUAUAACAUGUUUUAUUCAGCAACUCCUGCGAGACCGGGAAUAGGAAUCCCUCCAGAACAGUCCCUGGAAACUGCAAAAGCAGUGAAGGAAUGCUAUAGUUAUGUUUGCCAGAUUUAGUAAAAGAGUUUAACAAGUAUGACACAGAUGGGUCAAAGUGGAUUAAACAGUACACUGGAGUCAAUGCUCUCUCAAAGAAAGAAUUCUCCAUUGAUGUUGGUUAUGAGAGAGUCUUGGGACCUGAAAUCUUUUUUCAUCCAGAGUUUGCUAAUCCAGAUUUUAUACAGCCUAUCUCAGAAGUUGUACAUGAAGUCAUUCAGAAUUGCCCAAUUGAUGUCAGGCAUCCUCGCUACAAGAAUAUUGUCCUUUCUGGAGGUUCAACCAUGUUCAGGGACUUUGGAUGUUGCUUAUAGAGAGAUUUGAAAAGAACUGUUGAUGCUAGGCUGAAAUUAAGUGAGGAGCUGAGUGGCAGGUAGAUUGAAACCCAAGCUUAUUGAUGUGCACGUUAUCACCUACCACAACGGUAUGCAGUCUGGUUUGGAGGGUCGAUGCUGGCUUCCACGCCCGAGUUCUACCAAGUAUGCCACACUAAGAAGGAUUACAAAGAAACUGGGCCUAGCAUUUGUCGUCAUAAUCCAGUGUUUGGAUUCAUGUCAUAG